rnacentral:misc_RNA from 1 species
AAGAUUCUAUUCUUUCUCAUCCAAGUCUUCCUUUUCUUCUCAUCCAAUUCUUAUAUUCUCGGAAUUCUGUCUCAAUCUCUGCAUCCAGAGAUUGAUCCUAAGCUGAUGCCAACUACUUACUAAUUCAGUUAUGAUAACAGCUUCUUUAACAAUAUUUCCCUCCAAAACCCAUCCUUAUCCAUACUCUCAACUACUUAAGAAGCAUUAAUUCUCUUUGGUUACAUAAUGGAGCCUAAGCCCAGGAAUAAAAACUACAAGCUGCACAUAUGAGAAGUAAUAUCACCACAAGCAUCAUCCAAAAUCAAACUAAGGAGAUCACUUGGGGUACACAGGAAGAAACAGGCUUCCAUAUUAAGAAGAAUGGCAUAGUUCACCGGCCACUCACAUAAACACUCAACUCCCAGUAGAAAUGGGCAAGCUGGAUAUGCCACUCCAGAUCAAGCAUUUGCAUUAAGUUGGAGAUUGAAGGCAUAUGAGGGCUACGAGAAUCAUCACCCAGAAAAGGAAUCUCCACAACAAUCUUAGAACCCGCAUUGACUAGCACUUUCACCAAAAUAUGAUUUUAUAAUAAAACAUCUCAAUGAUUGUAAAAGCAAAUUAUUUGCCAGUAAAGAGAAGCAAGGUAAUGCCUGGCAAUUUCAGAAUGCAAAGCCAUG